GGGCGCAUGGUGUAGUUGGUUAUCACAUCCGCUUAGCAUUUCUGCGCUUGCGGGGGGUGCUGGGUUCAAUUCCCAGUGCGUCCA
rnacentral:tRNA from 1 species